CAGCAAGCCUCGGUAAUCUGCUGGAAAAUAAUGCUCUCCGCAUCAGUGUUGCGUUGCGUUUGAGUGCACCAAUCGUAUCCCCGCACGUGUGCGUGUGCGGCGGAUCGAUUGACGAAUUAGGCCGGCACGGACUCCGUUGCAAACGAUCUGCCGGACGGCUGCCACGACACGACGGUAUCAGUGGGGAGCUCAAAGGCUGCGUCUCCAAUUCAAAGCGAAUCUAGCUUUGGUACGGUUGCUCAACCGCACGAGGUGGCUGUAUGCAGUGGCCACGCCUACAGAUACGGUACGCGAAGCCACCUCGCGAGGUGGAGUUGCUGUAUCGCAGUAAGAUUCGCUUCGAAUUCGGGACGAAGCCUAAGGACAGCCGGUUUCCCAGCCAGAAUGGAGCCGAAAGGUCUUUCAGCGAAGGAUCGCAAAAGGCCGGAUGUGAUCACACUCGUACCAUGGGAACGCGGAAAGCCGUGACUUGCGUGGACACACUUGCUGCCACGUAUAUCGACCGCACCUCAAUGAAUGCCGGUCCCGCACCUGAACACGCCGAAAGAGCGAAACUGACGAUACACAGCUGGCUGCAGCCACGCUAUUACUUCAUGGCGGCAGCAUUUGAAAUUUACGGACCGUGGGGAGAUGGAACAAAUCGGCUUGUGGAGAAGGUUGGGAGCGGCAUCGCCACCGCCACACGCCAGAAACGUGCGAAAGAGUUUUUUAGACAACGACUCUCUAUCCAGAUACAGCGGGGGAAUGCGAUUUGUGUAAUGGGUACAAUUCCCGAUCAGGAUAGCAUCGAGGAAGUGUUUCUGUUAUAAAUGUUUUCUAGCACCGUGGUUCCGCCUGUCUGUCCCCCGUACGUGGUCAUGCAGAAUUUCGGGAUUAAUCGUCUGGGCGGCGUGCUGUGCACUUGCGGGAAAUUGGUCUCUCCUUCAAUCGACUCAGCAAAUGGAGCGAGAUUCGCCCGCUACUGCACCACACCCACAACUUGGAGUCGCUGAAUCUGAGCUUCAACCCGCUGAACGCAUUACAGGUGACCGACGUCUGCGGGGUGGGCGGGGAGGAGAGCCCCCUAUGCCCCUUGCAAUCGGCCAGCUGCGGCAUGAUCCGCGUCCCGCACCGUCCUUCCCGCAGCUCCGCCGGCUGAUUCUCAAUGGGAGCCGCGUCGAUGCGUGCAUGGCGCUGCUGGACUGGUUGCCGCAGUAA